rnacentral:misc_RNA from 1 species
UCCAUUGCAGGAAGUGGGUUUGAGGAUCUUAUUGAAGGAUUAUCAGUAACAAAUACUUUCAAACCAAGCUCUCCUUUGACCCGAGAAAAAAUGCCUCGUUUUUCCAGAGGGUAAUGCAAAACAACAGCAUCAGAAUAAGGAACAAAUGAGGUUCCAGUAAGGCGAACCUUUCCAAGGAAAGACUUGGAGUUGUUUUCUUUACUAUGGUUGUAUACAUAGGCUUCAAGAGUGAGGUUGGAUAGGUUAUUUGGAUCAGAGAUGUUGAAGUAGAAA